GAGGGUGUAGCUCAGUGGUAGAGUGCAUGCUUAGCAUUAAUGAGGUCCUGAGUUCAAGCCUCAGUACCUCCG
rnacentral:tRNA from 1 species